UACGUAGGGUGCGAGCGUUAAUCGGAAUUACUGGGCGUAAAGCGUGCGCAGGCGGCUUUGCAAGACAGAUGUGAAAUCCCCGGGCUCAACCUGGGAACUGCAUUUGUGACUGCAAGGCUGGAGUGCGGCAGAGGGGGAUGGAAUUCCGCGUGUAGCAGUGAAAUGCGUAGAUAUCGGGAGGAACACCAGUGGCGAAGGCGGCGACCUGGGCCAAUAUUGACGCUGAGGUGCGAAAGCGUGGGGAGCAAACAGG
rnacentral:rRNA from 1 species